GCCCCUGGGACUAUGAAAAGACCAUUUUCUGUUGCUUUAAACUGUCCAAUUUGGGGACUCUUUCCCAGUUGCCCUGGAAGUCACAGGCAUUUUUAACAGUAUAGCUUCUGGGACAGGAGAGCCCUCCUCUGCCUCAGCUGACACAGAGGUACCUGGCUAGCCCCAUGUCACUGCUCUCAGCGGGGACUGGGGUUCCUGCACCCAGCCUCCCCUAGUCUCCUGGGAUCCGCAACUUCCUCAGAGGACACAUAAAGGGUCUGGGCUGGAAUCUGAAGCCACGGCGAAUCCUCCGAAUGCUGAAGGGCUUUAAAACGGGAUGGUAUGGCUUCUACUUCCCAACACAUGGAACAAACCUCAGGGGACCCAGUACAGCGGGCGUCCAGCUGGGCCUAAAUGAGCUUGAGUCCCAAGCCCUACGCAGUGCCUCCUCACAGCCUCAGAAACGUAAGAAAUCCAGACAUUUCACAGAAGCGAGUAUUCCC
rnacentral:lncRNA from 1 species